GCUCUUCAUAUUUCAUUUGUAAUAAAGAAAGCAUCAUCAGUGUGUCUCUUGUUGCAGGUAUCAAACAUGGCAACGUCUGCAGAAACAGAGGGAACAUCUUCGAGUCCAAGAAGAACGUUUUUUGGCCGACCUCUCACCUGAUUGGAUGGAGGAAGAGGAAGAGGAGGAAGAGGAGACUAAAUCAGUGAUCUAAAAGUCUGAACUUUGUGUCUGGACUUUGGGCUGACUGGUUGUUUGAAAACCAUG